rnacentral:rRNA from 1 species
GAUGAACGCUGGCGGCGUGCCUAAUACAUGCAAGUCGAGCGAACGGACGAGAAGCUUGCUUCUCUGAUGUUAGCGGCGGACGGGUGAGUAACACGUGGAUAACCUACCUAUAAGACUGGGAUAACUUCGGGAAACCGGAGCUAAUACCGGAUAAUAUUUUGAACCGCAUGGUUCAAAAGUGAAAGACGGUCUUGCUGUCACUUAUAGAUGGAUCCGCGCUGCAUUAGCUAGUUGGUAAGGUAACGGCUUACCAAGGCAACGAUGGGUAGCCGACCUGAGAGGGGGACCGGGCACAUGGGGACUGAGGUACGGCCCAGACUCGUAUGGGAGGCAGCAGUGGGGAAUAUUACACAAUGGGCGGAAGCCUGAUGUAGCAACGCUGCGUGCGGGAUGACGGCCUUCGGGUGGUAAACCGAUUUCGCAUGUGAAGAAGCGUGAGUGACGGUAAUGGGUAAAGAAGCACCGGCUAACUACGUG